UGGGGGAUAUUGCACAAUGGGCGAAAGCCUGAUGCAGCGACGCCGCGUGGGGGAUGAAGGCUUUCGGGUUGUAAACCUCUUUCGCUAUCGAACAAGGCCCGCUUAGGGUGGGUUGAGGGUAGGUGGAGAAGAAGCGCCGGCUAACUACGUGCCAGCAGCCGCGGUAAUACGUAGGGCGCGAGCGUUGUCCGGAAUUAUUGGGCGUAAAGGGCUUGUAGGCGGCUUGUUGCGCCUGCUGUGAAAACGCGGGGCUUAACUUCGAGCGUGCAGUGGGUACGGGCAGGCUUGAGUGUGGUAGGGGUGACUGGAAUUCCAGGUGUAGCGGUGGAAUGCGCAGAUAUCUGGAGGAACACCGAUGGCGAAGGCAGGGCACUGGGGCAUGACUGACGCUGAGGAGCGAAAGCAUGGGUAGCGAACAGG
rnacentral:rRNA from 1 species